rnacentral:lncRNA from 1 species
CCACACCACCAGCUCCGUGCCACGGAUUUCCCCUUUCCAACCGAACUCCCAGUUAGACAGAGGGGUGCCCGGGCUGCUCCUCCCGGGGACCACAGACUCCGUGCUCCGGCAUGCCGCCCUCCUCCGUCAGCUCCCCGAAGCCCCAAGCACGCCCGGUGCGGCGGGGCGGCUGCUCCUGCCGCCAGGCAGCGAUCGCUGCGCACAGGCGGGGAAGGGCCGCGGAGUCCCCCCGCGCUCACGACGGCCAGGGCCGGGGCCAGGGGGGGCAGCGCCCGGGAAGGGCACCGGUCGGCGGCGAGGGCUCGCCGCGGGGAGCUCGGCUCCGCACCCGCCGGCCGCGGUGGCCAAGGGGCUGGCGGCCGCUGCGGAGCCCCUGGGAGAGGCGGGGCGGGGACGCCCGCCCGGGAAGCUAACAGCGGGGGCAGCGUCCCCGCGCCCCGCCGAGCCUCCGGCUGCGGGGACGGCCGGAAAGUGACAGCGCCCGCGGGCACCGCACGGCUCCGCGCCGCCACCACCGGGGACAGACGCGCACCCCCCGGCUCUCCCCAGCCCAGCUGGGCCCCCUCUCACCCCCAGCGGAAAACAAUGGGCAGGGGGCGCGGCUCGCCCCGCGCAGCGCCCGGCACCCCGGCGGGGCCAACUCCGCGGCGGCAGCAGCGGGGUGGCGAUGAGUAUGCGGCGGCGGCGGCAGGACUUACGGGGGCUGCGGCGGGGCAGAGCGCGACUCCGGGCGCGGCUGGCGACGCGGCGAACUCCGCGACUGGCGGCAGGGGCCGACCCCGAGCGGCCGCGCUCCGCUCCGCUCCGCGCCCCGCCCCGCACCUGCCCGGCCCCGCCCCGCGCGGGCCCCAUUGUCCGCGGCACCUGCCCGGCCCCGCCCCGCCCUCCCCUUUGGCUCCCGCCCGGGACGCGGCCGCCAUCCCCCGCCGAGCCUCCGCCGAGCCCCCGCCGCCCCGCUCCCAACUUCGCCGGGGCUCGCUUCUUCCGUUCGGCACCCGCAGACUCGGCAGCAAUGACUUUGGGAACGCUCCAGCUCUCAGUCAGCACCGGAGGCGGUUAGCUCCAAAUCUGAACCUCGAAGUGUACAUUUCAGCUCGCUUUUUGCAGCUUGUUUUAUUUCUAGUCUCUGUUACAAUGUCACGUUUCAGGGUUGAAACACGAUGCCUAUAG